GACGAACGCUGGCGGCGUGCUUAACACAUGCAAGUCGAACGGAAAGGCCCUGCUUUUGUGGGGUGCUCGAGUGGCGAACGGGUGAGUAACACGUGAGUAACCUGCCCUUGACUUUGGGAUAACUUCAGGAAACUGGGGCUAAUACCGGAUAGGAGCUCCUGCUGCAUGGUGGGGGUUGGAAAGUUUCGGCGGUUGGGGAUGGACUCGCGGCUUAUCAGCUUGUUGGUGGGGUAGUGGCUUACCAAGGCUUUGACGGGUAGCCGGCCUGAGAGGGUGACCGGCCACAUUGGGACUGAGAUGCGGCCCAGACUCCUACGGGAGGCAGCAGUGGAGAAUAUUGCACAAUGGGCGGAAGCCUGGUGCAGCAACGCCGCGUGCGGGAUGACGGCCUUCGGGUUGUAAACCGCUUUCGCCUGUGACGAAGCGUGAGUGACGGUAAUGGGUAAAGAAGCACCGGCUAACUACGUG
rnacentral:rRNA from 1 species